UUAGGUAUGCAUAUUUGCUUGCCUAUAAAGGGAUCUCUAUCUUGCCUUUCAAGGCAGAGAAUUAGAGAUAAGAAUUUCAGAAAAAUACCAAAAGGUUGCAGUCUAAUGUUUUAUUGAAGUCCUGUGAUUUUUUUGCUCCUUUUCAAACAUCUGAAAACAAUUGCUCCUCAUUGUGAGAUUUAAAAUGGUUUGAGUUUAGGUUUAUGGAAGCUUGGGUUGAAGUUUUCCUAGAUUACAGCUUGAUUAAAAUUGGUUUUGAACUGCUAUGCCUCAUUUCAAUUUAAAAUUGGUUUUCAUUGUUACACUGCUGCUGUGAGCUGAAGUUCUGAUCCUAAUCACCUUUUGAUUUGACUGUUGUAUCCAGGUAUUCCUUUCACACCAUGAAUGAGAAAUAAAGUUUUGGGUAAGCUAUGAUGUUGUUUAUUAAUUCAAGUUGAGGAGUUUGAUCAAUAGUAACACUAUGUUACCUGUUGGCUAUGUGGCCCUGAUUUAUUUUAGUUUGAUGUUCAUUGUAUUCUAGCUUCUUAGGUGUAGUUAUUCAUGUCACGUGUUCUGUUUAAAUAUCAGAUUUGAGCUUGUUUGAGCAUAGUUUCUUUAGGGACUAUUUUAAAAUUUUAAAUAGUAAUGUUUAAGGAUAUCAAGUCUAUUGUAUUGUGGACCUAGGAAAGAACUCAUGUGUGUUCAAGGUGCUAUGAACUUAUACUUGAAAAUGGGUGAAUUUGAGUUUGUAAAGAUGGUUAAACCAUGAAUUUCAGUUGCUCGGCUUUAUUCUUUUGGUUUAAUGUCCUGGAAAACAAAUUUUGG
rnacentral:lncRNA from 1 species